GUGAUUCCUUCAGCAGCACAUAUACUUAAAUUGGAACAAUAUGGAGAAAAUUAGCAUGACCCCUGUGCAAGGAUGACACAAAAAUUCAUGAAGCAUUUCAUAUAAAG